GCUCAUAUGGCCAGUGUUGGGUUAAGCCUUGCAACGAUCACAACCCUCAUGUUUAGUUGUCACUAUGAGUUUGGAACCCUGAACAGACCGCCGGUGUUAAGCCGAAGGAAGGAGAGGAUGA
rnacentral:ncRNA from 1 species